rnacentral:lncRNA from 1 species
UUCCCCUUUAUUUUUGGAGCGAUUUUCUCCUUCUUUUGAGGCUCCACGAUUGUCGUCGUAGGGCCAUUUCUUGUUGCCAUUCUUUCUCCCUUCUUCUUCUCGAUGAGAAAUCUUGCCUUCCUAUGCUCGAGCGUAUCUUCGAGCUUGGGCUAGGAGGUCAGCGUAGACUUUCAAAAAAUUCUUAUCGAGGAAGAAAAUCAAAUGCUCGUCUUUGAGUCCUU